rnacentral:ribozyme from 1 species
GCGCGCACACAGACUUCCGCCUGUUUUUGUCGUCGGAGCCGUCCGCCGGUAUGCCCGUGAACAUCCUGCAGGUGUGCAUCAAGAUGAC